AGCAGGAGGCGGAAGGCAGGGCCGAGGGGCGGUACUGACACGUGUCAAUCAAACCCCUCCCAGAGGCGCGCCUUGGGUGCUCUGGCGCGCAGUGCCCGUAUGUAAAUGAGGGGGCGUGGCGUGUCACGCGACGCCGUUAGAAGGAGAAGAGAGAGAAUGUCCCCUGCCGCCGGUUCCCUGUGGAGAGGAGGAGACCCCUUCGGCGGAACUGGGCUCCUGGCUCCGCCACCUCCGCACUGUGUAGUACCAAGUUCGAAAGUAUAGGCAACAACUGUGAAGACAAUAAGAUUCAUUAUGACGCCCAUUCCGGUUGACUGUUAUCUUCUUUUAAAGUCCUGUAAAGUCUCCAAUGUUUUGGUUUUAUUCUUUACUGUUUUGUUCAAUUUUAUUAUAACUGAAGAUAUAGGCAAUUCUUUUUAAGAUAGCAAGAGGCAGUAUGGUAAAUUGUUGAUCACCUGUUAUUUUGUUUUUACAUUAUCUAUUAUGUCCAUCCUUUUGAUUUGACUGACUCUGUUCUGUUAUAUUAUGUCACAUUUGGUUUUACUCUCUUCAAAAAAAAGUAAUAAGAACUGUGGGAGUAAUAAAACCCAAAAUGUGUAAUUGUCAUUGUACAAAAGAAAAGAAAAGGAAGUGCUCUAAAGCAUACAACUGCAUAUAUAUUUAAGAGUAUAAGAUAGAUAACCAUAUUACUGAGUUUUGUUGGAUCACUGAACAAAACUGUUUGCAGUCUCACUGUUUGAAAGUCCACUUUAUAUGCUUUAAUUUUGUAACUUGAACAACUAUUUCUAAGAUAAUAUGUAAUCUAUUAACUAGUGAUUUCCUACUGUUUAUUCUUUCUGAAAUUCUGUAUAACUUGUACCCUUUUUCUGUUUUUUUCCUCCUUAAAUAAAAUUUUUUUAAAAAUUUAAAAAAAAAAAAGAAAAAGGAACCAGAUUAUCGUUUUGUGUUAUCUAGUUGCAUACUGGUAUGCAAAGUAUUUAAAACUGAGUUUGUACUGUAUUUCUAAUAUGAAAUCUACUGCACUUUAAUAUAAUACAUAAUUAUAUUGUACUGUACAUGAAAAUACAUUUUUAUUGAGUUUUGGCUAUCUUUGAGAAUUUUUUCUCACACUUCCAAUCAGGAGGCCUAUUAAGAUCCUUCUUAGAAUGAAACCAUUUUAAACAGGGAAAAAAAUAAAGAAAAGAAAGACACUGAUUCAAGGUUACUCAGAGGUCUAUUGGGAGUAGGUCAUGUUUAUUAUCUGAGGAGAAAAGGAAACACUUUAAAGUUCAAAUGGCUGCUGUCAAGUUUGUUAUACAAUGUUAUAGUAAAUGGUAGAGGGAAAAUAUUAAGAAGGCUAUACAUGCAAGAGAUAUUCUUUUGGUAUGAGAGGAUUCAUGAUAAAUGUCUCCUUGUGCCAAAAAGAGAGGAAGAGAGAUAGUAAACAAGACUAAAAUGCUUAUGUAUGUUGAAGAAAGCUUAUGGAAGUACUUUAUUAAAAAGAAACUAUAUAUAUGAUUGCUUGUUAAUUUGGUAGAGCUCAGGUUGUUCCUUCUAAAAACCUUCAUGAAAGAAAUGGUCAAAUCAAGAUGAGAUUACCAGUCAAGUAAUAACCUUUAAAAACCUUGUGAUACAUAUGCUGUGUGUUACUUUACUCAGUACUAAGAUGGAUAUUUAAAUGUGUUAUAAAAAUAAUGUUGAAAGAUCUGUACCACAAGGCUGAGGGAUCUGCAGUAGCGGACUAGAAGCAACACUCAAGACAAAUGUGAGGACUAAAGCUCCACUGAAGAGAACAGCAGCCAUCCCUGGUGACAGGAAGAACCUUCAGUGUCAAGAACAGCCAGGUACAUAUCAGUAAAACCAGCUUCAGCAAGCUGUUGCAAAAAAAUCAACAGCAUGCAGUCUUUCCCUCCUGUUCUCUUUUUAUGCCACUGGCAACAGGCCACAGGAAUAAAAAUGGUGGAGUAAAGACCAACAACAAAACACAGUACCGCCUUUCUGAGAACUGGAAUCAAGACACUUCAAAAACAAUAACUUGGUGAAGAAAAAAAAAAUUUCUGGAAAUCAGGAGUGAACUAACAGGAAAACCAGAAACUACAGACAAGCUGAAGAAACUGAGCACAAUGCAACAACACUGCCUGGACAGCUAAUGCCAUCUCCCAUCACUGACACAAACUUGUUGGUUCUGCUAUGCCAUGACUGAGAUUGAUUAAGGACCACAGAAAAUACUGUGGCACAGCGCUGAGGAACAAGGGACUGGGUCAAACAAUCAGCAACUUGUCAUAUAAAUUGAGGAGGUAGAAUCUGCCAGCAGACUCAAAACCCAGCUACACUGUGCUUGCUUUGGCAGCACAUACACUAAAAUUGGAACAAUACAGAGAAGAUCAGCAUGGUCUCCGCGCAAGGAUGACAUGCAAAUUUGUGAAGCAUUCCAUAUUUUUAAUUGUUUCCUUAUGAUCUGUUUUGUUCCAUUUUGUUAUGUUUAAUCUUACCCUCUUUAAAAAGAAAAAACAGCUACACUGGAAAGAUACUUCGGAGAAGUAGUCAUCACCUAAGUGUCGCAAAUAUUAUCAAUAAAGGAACCCACUGUAGGCAAUUUACAUGCAACACCCCAGGAAUUAAACCAAAAAAAAGAAAGAAAAAAUGAAAAGACACUUAAAAUGUAAUCUCAGAUAUUAUGUUCACCAAAGGGAAAUCCAGGGGGCAAUGAGGUAGGACAAUCCAGAAUACUUACCUGGUCUCGCUGAAGUGGUAACAAGGCAAUUGAAUAAGGCUCUCAAAAAAAAGUGAAAUCUAGGGGCUGGGGGUUUAGCUCAGCAGCAUAAGCACCUGCCUUGCAAGUAUGUGGUUGUGAGUUCAAUCCCUGGUACAGAUAAAAAAGGAAAAAGGAAAAAGACAAAAAAAAAUGAAAUCAGAAAUAAUCUCUCAGAUAAAGACCAUGCUUAGUGACGCUAGAGCAGAUACAGACCAAAAAAAUAGACAAGCUGAAGAAAAUUAUGGAAGUCUUAAAUGCUCAGCAUAGAAAUGAGGAUAUAACUCAAAGAGAGGCACAGCACCUGCCUGUCAAGUGCAUGGUCAUGAGUUCUAUUUCCAUAGGAAAAAAAAGACAUUCAAAAGAAAUGCUCAGCAUAGGAAAGAAAUGGAAUCUAUAAGGCAAAUUCAAGCAGAUAUCCAGGAGAAUAAGAAUUCCAUUGAAAAUAUUCAAAGCAAAAUAGGCCAAUAUGAGGACAAGAUCUCAGAUAUAGAAGACAGGCUUGCAGUUAGCUAUCAGGAACAGAAAGAUUUCUCAAAAACAGCAAAGGACUGUGAGAAAUCAAUCCAGCAGGUGCUAGGUGAAACGGAGAAAAAUAACAAGAUUGAUUGGAGUCCACGAAAAAGGAGAUAACACAACUGAUAUUUAGAAAAUGUUCACAGAUGACAUGGCAGAAAACUUCCCCAGUAGAGAAAAAGAUUUAACAUACAGGCAAGUGCAGCAUAUUGAAUUGCAUUAACCCUGCUCAAGAAAAUUCUACAAUCAAGCAUAUCAUAGUCAACAUUCCAGAAAUUCACCACAAGAAUAAAACCUUAUGUGCUGUUAGGAAAAGAGACAAAUCACCUAUAAAAGAAAGCCCAUCAGAAUCAUAGCUGGCUUCUCAGCACAAACCAUCAAGUCAAGAAGACCUUGGUGUGAAGUAUUCCAAGCUCUAAAGGAAAACAACUUUCAACCCAGACUGAUGUAUCCUCCAAAAGUGUCUUUCAAAACUAAUGGAGUAAUAAGAUACUUCCAUGACAAAGAACAUCUCAGGAUAUUUACAACUGCUAAUGGAGUAAUAAGAUACUUCCAUGACAAAGAACAUCUCAGGAUAUUUACAACUGCCAAACCAGCACUGCCAAAAUGUUCUGAAGGACAUUCUAGAAAGAGAUACUAAGGAGUACAGUUCCAUGAACCUCAACAGAAAGAAUCCACCAAAGAAGGCCAAAAGUUAGAGAAAAAAAGAGGGGGAGCCAAAAAUGGAAAAAUAACAUGACAAAGAUAAGUCAAUACAUAUCAGUUAUAACUAUCAAUGUUAAUGGUCUCCAUUUACCAAUCAAAAGAAACAGACUGGCAGAAUGGAUCAGGAAGCAAGAUCCAACAAUGUGCUGCUUACACAAACCACAUUUAAUUCACAAAGAAAUUUAUAGAUUGAAAGUCAUAGGUUGGAAAACAAUACUCCAUGAGACACAAACCCAGAAAAGGGGGGGGUAGCUGUUCUAUUUGCAGACAAAGUGAAUUUCAAGCCAAGACUGAUUAAGGGAGAUGAAGAAGGUCACUACACUACACCCUCAUAAAGGGAAUAAUCCAAGAGGAAGAUACAACAAUCAUAAAUUUAUAUACACCAAAUACUAGUGUAUCCAACUAUAUAAAGCAAAUUCUAAUGGACAUGAAAAUCAAAUAAGCCCUAAUACAAUUGUAUUGGGACAUUUCAAUACCACACUGGCACAAAAAGAUCAACUAGACACAAAAUUCAUAAUGAAAUAUCAGAACUGUACCAAACUUUUGAACAAAUAGACUUAGUAGAUGUCUGUAGAGUGUUCCACCCCAUGCCAUUAGAAUAACAUUCUUCUCAGCUGCAUACAGAACAUUCUCCAAGAUAGACACAGACUAGUUCAUAGAACUUCCUUAAGUAAAUGCAAAGGAAUUCAAAUUAUCACAUGCAUACUAUCAUACCACAGUGCAAUGAAAUUGGAAAUCCAUGGAAGAAGAAACCACAAGAACUUCAUUGACACAUGGAAAUUAAAUACCAUCCUGCUGAAAAACCACAGAGUCACAGAUGAAAUUAAAGGAGAAAUUGGACAAUUUUUACAGUCAAGUAAUAAUGAUAGGGCCAGGGAUUUAGCUCAGCUGACUGGCAAACAGGAGGUUGUAAGUUCAAUCCCCAACACUAAAAAAAAAAAAAACCCGCUCACAACACUACAAUAUACCAGAAUUUAUGGAACACAAUGAGAGCAAUCUUAAGGAAAAAAAAAUUUAUAGCACUAAAGACUCAGGUCAGAAAAACAGAGCAAAUGCAUUUAAACAACAUAAUGGUAAACUUCAGACUUAUAGAAAAAGAAGCACAGGCUAAGCCAAAAGCUUGUACAAGAAAGGAAAUUAAAAAGAUCAGAGCAGAAAUUAACAGAUUGGAGACUAAAAAACCAUACAAAGAAUCAAUGAAUCAAAGCAUUGGUUCUUUGAAAGAUUAAACUGACAAACCCUUAGCCAACCUCAUACAAAAAAACGAUGCAAAUCUAUGCACUUAGGAAUAAAAAAGGUGAAAUCACAACCGACCGUGCAGAAAUUCAGAAGAUCAUCUAUACCUACUUUGAAAACUUGUAUUUUAAGAAAAUGGAAAGUAUAAAAGAAAUAGACAGAUUCCCAGGUACAUAUGAGUGAUCUAAGCUAAACCCAGAACAUAUAAAACUCCUAAAUAACCUACUAUCAGUAAAUGAAAUUGAACAUAUAAUUAAAAACCUUUCAAUAAAGACAGACCCAGGCUUUGAUGGGUUCACUGUUGUAUUCUACAAAAAACUUACAGAAGACCUAAUCCCACUAUUUCUCAAACUCUUUAAUGAAAUUGAAGGGAAACAAUACUCCCAAACUCAUGCUUGGAAACAAACAUUACCCUGAUAGCAAAACUAGAGAAGGACCCAUUUAAGAAAAAGGGUUACAAAGCAAUUUCCUAAUGAACAUAGAUGCAGAAAUCCUCAAUGAGGUACUGACAAACAAUGCACAAAAUUAUCAAAAAGAUUAUACACCAUGACCCAAUGGGCUUCACCACAGGGAUGCAGCAAUGCAAACCAAUAAAUGAAACGUACCAUAUUAACAGACCCAAGGACAAAACCAUAUGAUCAUCUCAACAGAUGCAGAAAAAGCUUUUGACAAUGUCCAACACCAGUUUAUGAUAAUAACCUUCUAGAAAAUUGAAAAUAGAUGGUCUUUAUCUCAGUCUGAUAAAAGCCAUCUAUGACAAACCAACAGUCAACAUCAUACUAAAAAGACAAAAAAUGAGAACUCUGUUUCUAAAAUCAGGAACCAGAGCCAGGGAUUUAGCUCAGUCGUACAUUGCCUGCUGCUAAACAUGAGGUCCUGAGUGUGAUUCCCGGUACCAAAGAAAAUGAAAUAAAAGAAAAUCAAGAUCAAGACAGGGGUGACCACUGUCUCCACUCUUAUUCAUCAUUGUCCUGGAACUUUAGCCAGAGCAAUUCAACAAGAGAAAUAAAUAAAAGGAAUAAAGGUAGGAAAAGAAGAAGUUAAAUUACCAUUAUUUGCAGGUGACAUGUUACUCUACAUAGAAGAUCCCAAAACCUCCACUAAAACACUGGUAGAUUUAAUAAACAAAUUUACUAGCAUAAUUGGAUACAAAGUCAGCACUAAAAAAUCAGUAGCCUUCCUGCACAAAAAGCAUACUCACUGAGAGACAAAUCAGGGAAACAACACAGGACUUUCACAGUCGGAUCCUAAAAAACAAAAUGCCUAGGCCUCAGUGUAAUGAAGGAUGUAAAAGACCCUGUAGUUUCAAUGUAGGUUGAAAACUACAGUACUCUGAAAAAGGAGACUGAAGAGAAUAUUAGAAAA